GGAGGUUUGGGGAAGGAGAGAGGGAAGAGGGGAGGGCAGUGGAUAAAAUUUGUGUUUUGACUGAGGGAGAGAGAGGCUGAGCUGCUGGGAGACAAGCCCUGAAAGAUCCAUGAUUAAUUUGGCCCAUUAACUGCCACUGCCAGGGGAGAGAAGGAGAGGGAGAAAGAGAGAGAAAAAAAGUCUUACCCUCAAUGCUCAUUUGCUCAUUUAGAAAGAAAGAACGCAAGAAAGAAAGAAUGAAAGGUCAAAGGAUCCCUUCUACUCUAUUGAGACACCUCCUGUUAUGCUGUGAAGCCAGUUUGACAGCUGCUCCCCUCUGAAGUCAUUCAACAUUCUCAACCUUCCACCUGUCCCUC